GGGAAUCAUGUCCCGUCGGAAACAGACCACUCCCAACAAAGUUCACUCCUGCUGUGUAUCUGGAGAGCCCAGAAAUGCCAUGCAGUGCACUGGUGAAUGACAAGGAUAAUCGGAGAGAGCACCAGCUCCAAGAACUGGUAACCACUGCAGCAGUGUGGACAACCCAGAAUAGCCAUGGGGCAGGUGGACUAGAUCCACAGUGGUGGAAAGACUGGCAGAUUUCAGGUCCAGGAAAGGAACACAGAGAAGACCUACAUGAACAGGGACUUUACACUGAUGUACAAGAAGGGAAGGAAAGGGCUUAUCUCUGAGAAACUUUUCUGUUUUGGAAGAAAGAUAGG